AACGGCCGUACCAUGCUGAAUAUACCGGUUCUCGUUAGAUCACCGAAGUCGAGCAUGAUUGGUCGCGGUCAGUACUUGGGUGGGUGACCACCUGGGAACACUGCGUGCCGUU
rnacentral:rRNA from 1 species